GAUGAACGCUGGCGGUAUGCCUAACACAUGCAAGUCGUACGAGAGUUUUUAACUCUAGUGGCGACGGGUGAGUAACACGUGGGAAUUUGCCUUUAGAGGGGGAUAACAAUUGGAAACGAAUGCUAAUACCCCAUAUGCUUUUGAGUGAAAUGGAUUUUAUCCGCCUAGAGAGAAGCUCGCGGCUGAUUAGCUUGUUGGUAAGGUAAGAGCUUACCAAGGCGACGAUCAGUAUCUGGUUUGAGAGGACGAUCAGACACACUGGAACUGAGACACGGUCCAGACUCCUACGGGAGGCAGCAGUGGGGAAUUUUCCGCAAUGGGCGAAAGCCUGACGGAGCAAUACCGCGUGAGGGAAGAAUGCCUAUGGGUUGUAAACCUCUUUUUUCAGGGAGGAAUAAAAUGACGUGUACCUGAAGAAUAAGCAUCGGCUAACUCCGUG
rnacentral:rRNA from 1 species